AUACUUACUUGGCUGCAGAGAUGCUGUGUUCCAGGAGGUAGCUUUCCCAGGGAGAGGUUCAUUGUCUUGGGAUGUGCUGACUAGUGAUUUCCCCAGUGCAGAAAACUCCACUGUAUAAAUUGUGAUAGUGGGAGACUGUGUUUGUGAUCUCAUA
rnacentral:snRNA from 1 species